rnacentral:rRNA from 1 species
CGCUGGCGGCGUGCCUAACACGAUGCAAGUCGAGCGGAGAUGAUGUGAGGAAGUUUCGGAUGGAAUCACAGUUAUUUAGCGGCGGACGGGUGAGUAACGCGUGAGCGACCAACCUUGCACGGGGGGAUAACGGACCGAAAGGUUCACUAAUACCGCAUGAGACCACGGUGUUGCAUGACACAGGGGUCAAAGGAGCAAUCCCGGUGCAAGACGGGCUCGCGUCCGGAUUACGGUAGUUGGUGGGGUAAUGGCCCACCAAGCCUAUGAUCGGUAGCCGACCUGAGAGGGUGAUCGGCCACAUUGGAACUGAGAUACGGUCCAAACUCCUACGGGAGGCAGCAGUGGGGAAUAUUGGGCAAAAUGGGGGAAACCCUGACCCAGCAACGCCGCGUGAAGGAAGAAGGUUUUCGGAUUGUAAACUUCUGUCCUUGGUGAAGAGAAGAAGACGGUAGCCAAGGAGGAAGCCCCGGCUAACUACGUGCCAGCAGCCGC